rnacentral:rRNA from 1 species
CCUACGGGGGGCUGCAGUGGGGAAUAUUGCGCAAUGGGGGAAACCCUGACGCAGCAACGCCGCGUGAAGGAUGAAGGCUUUCGGGUUGUAAACUUCUUUGAUCAGGGACGAAGAGAUGACGGUACCUGAAGAACAAGCCACGGCUAACUACGUGCCAGCAGCCGCGGUAAUACGUAGGUGGCAAGCGUUAUCCGGAAUUACUGGGUGUAAAGGGCGUGUAGGCGGCUUUUUAAGUUGGAUGUGAAAUUCCGGGGCUCAACCCCGGCGCUGCAUCC